UGGGGAAUAUUGCACAAUGGGGGAAACCCUGAUGCAGCGACGCCGCGUGAGCGAUGAAGUAUUUCGGUAUGUAAAGCUCUAUCAGCAGGGAAGAAAAUGACGGUACCUGACUAAGAAGCACCGGCUAAAUACGUGCCAGCAGCCGCGGUAAUACGUAUGGUGCAAGCGUUAUCCGGAUUUACUGGGUGUAAAGGGAGCGCAGACGGAGUGGCAAGUCUGAUGUGAAAACCCGGGGCUCAACCCCGGGACUGCAUUGGAAACUGUCAAUCUGGAGUACCGGAGAGGUAAGCGGAAUUCCUAGUGUAGCGGUGAAAUGCGUAGAUAUUAGGAGGAACACCAGUGGCGAAGGCGGCUUACUGGACGGUAACUGACGUUGAGGCUCGAAAGCGUGGGGAGCAAACAGG
rnacentral:rRNA from 1 species